CGUCUAAGGUCCCGAAGCGUGUGCUAAGUGGGAAAGGAUGUGGAGUCGCAUAGACAGCCAGGAGGUUGGCUCAGAAGCAGCCACCCUUGAAAGAGUGCGUAACAGCUCACUGGUCUAGUGGUUCCGCGCCGACAAUGUAGCGGGGCUCAAGCACACCACCGAAGACGCGGCAGUAUUUUGUACUGGGUAGGAGAGCGUCCCAUGAGGGGCGAAGCGGCCGUGUGAACGCGCCGUGGACUUCAUGGGAGUGAGAAUGCAGACAUGAGUAGCGAGAGACGGGUGAAGAUCCCGUCCGCUGGAUGACCAAGGGUUCCAGGGCCACGUUCAUCGUCCCUGGGUGAGUCGGGUCCUAAGGCGAGGCCGACAGGCGUAGUCGAAUGGAUGAACGGGUCGAUAUUCCCGUACCGGCUUUCAGCCGCCAAAACCGAGGCUUGGAGUACUAACCUCCGGGUCCGGGCUUACUGCUCCUUCGGGGGCGGGAUGCCCUGGCCUGUUGGGACCGAUCCUUGUAGUAGGUCAGCGCAGGAGUGACGCAGAAGGGUAGCCGGCCGCGGAGGUGGUCUUCCGUGGUCAAGCACGCAGGGCGUGGGACAGGCAAAUCCGUCCCGCAUGGGUCCGAGGUGCGAUGAUGGGGGCCUUAUGGCCCGAUAUCCGGUGAUCCCGGCUGCCGAGAAAAGCUUCGGCGUCAGGCUCAAAGCCGCCCGUACCCCAAACCGACACUGGUGGUCAGGUAGAGAAUACCAAAGCGAUCGAGCGAAUCCUGGUCAAGGAACUCGGCAAAUCACUCCCGUUCCUUCGGUUUAAGGGAGACCCCCGAUGGUGAACCGCCUCGCGCGGGGAGCUUUUGGGGGUGGCACAGACCAGGGGGUAGCGACUGUUUACCAAAAACACAGGUGCAUGCGAAGGCGCAAGCCGCUGUAUAUGCACUGACGCCUGCCCGGUGCCGGAAGGUUAAGAGGAUCCGUCAGCCUUCGGGUGAAGCGGUGAAUUCAAGCCCCGGUAAACGGCGGUGGUAACUAUAACCAUCCUAAGGUAGCGAAAUUCCUUGUCGGGUAAGUUCCGACCUGCACGAAUGGCGUAACGACUUCCCCACUGUCUCGACCAGGAGCUCGGCGAAAUUGCAGUACGAGUAAAGAUGCUCGUUAAGCGCAGAAGGACGAAAAGACCCCGGGACCUUUACUAUACCUUGGUAUUGGCAUUCGGUGUGGAUUGUGUAGCAUAGGCGGGAGGCCGAGAGGCGCGGUCGCCAGAUCGCGCGGAGCCGUAAGGUGAAAUACCGCUCUGUUCGCAUUGGAUGUCUAACCUCGAACAGUCAUCCUGUUCAGGGACAGUGCCUGGCGGGUAGUUUAACUGGGGCGGUUGCCUCCCAAAGAGUAACGGAGGCGCCCAAAGGUCCGCUCAGCCCGGUUGGCAAUCGGGUGGCGAGUGCAAGUGCACAAGCGGGCUUGACUGCGAGGACGACGGUCCGAGCAGGGACGAAAGUCGGGACUAGUGAUCCGGUGCCGGUGUACGGACGCGGCAUCGCUCAACGGAUAAAAGGUACCCCGGGGAUAACAGGCUGAUCAUUCCCAAGAGUCCAUAUCGACGGGAUGGUUUGGCACCUCGAUGUCGGCUCGUCGCAUCCUGGGGCUGGAGCAGGUCCCAAGGGUUCGGCUGUUCGCCGAUUAAAGCGGCACGCGAGCUGGGUUCAGAACGUCGUGAGACAGUUUGGUCUCUAUCCUCUGCGCUCGUUGGAAUGCUGAGGAGGCCUGCCCAUAGUACGAGAGGACCUGGGUGGACGAACCUCUGGUAUGCCGGUUGUCACGCCAGUGGCACGGCCGGUUGGCUACGUUCGGAAGGGAUAACCGCUGAAAGCAUCUAAGCGGGAAGCCUGCUCCAAGAUAAGCAUUCCGUGGAACCUUCGAGUUCCUGUAGUCCCCAUGCAGAACACGUGGUCGAUAGGCCGGACGUGGAAGCCCCGCGAGGGGUGGAGCCGACCGGUACUAACGGACGAAAGGCAACACCAA
rnacentral:rRNA from 1 species